rnacentral:rRNA from 1 species
CGAUUACGGCUCAGUAACACGUAGCUAACCUACCCUUAGGACGUGGAUACCCCCGAGAAAUUGGGGUUAAUCCGCGAUAGAUGUAAUGUCCUGGAAUGGUAUUACGUCUAAAGGUAUUUCAUACAUGUUUGAAAUAUGCCUAAGGACGGGGCUGCGGCCGAUCAGGCUGUUGGUGAGGUAAUGGCUCACCAAACCUUUGACCGGUACGGGCCAUGAGAGUGGUAGCCCGGAGAUGGACACUGAGACAAGGGUCCAGGCCCUAAGGGGCGCAGCAACCGCGAAACCUCCACAAUGCACUCACGUGCGAUGGGGCUAUCUCGAGUGCCACCUGAUGAAGGUGGCUUUUCCUUGGUCUUCAAAGCCUUGGGAAUAAGAGGGGGGCAAGACUGGUGUCAGCCGCCGCGGUAACACCAGCCCCUCGAGUGGUGGGGAUGAUUAUUUGGCCUAAAGCGUCCGUAGCCGGCCGAGCAAGUCUUCCGUUAAAUCCAGCGUCUCAAGCGUUGGACCGCGGGAGAUACUACACGGCUAGAGAGUGGGAGAGGUCAGCGGUAUUCUGGGGGUAGGGGCGAAAUCCUUUGAUCCCCGGAGGACCACCAGUGGCGAAGGCUG